rnacentral:rRNA from 1 species
UACGUAGGGUGCGAGCGUUAAUCGGAAUUACUGGGCGUAAAGCGUGCGCAGGCGGUUUACUAAGACAGGUGUGAAAUCCCCGGGCUUAACCUGGGAAUGGCGCUUGUGACUGGUAGGCUAGAGUACGUCAGAGGGGGGUGGAAUUCCACGUGUAGCAGUGAAAUGCGUAGAGAUGUGGAGGAACACCGAUGGCGAAGGCAGCCCCCUGGGAUGAUACUGACGCUCAGGCACGAAAGCGUGGGGAGCAAACAGGAUUAGAUACCCUGGUAGUCCACGCCCUAAACGAUGUCGACUAGUUGUUGGGGAACUUGUUUCUUCAGUAACGCAGCUAACGCGUGAAGUCGACCGCCUGGGGAGUACGGUCGCAAGAUUAAA